AAGGCUUUAGCUUAAUUAAAGUGUCUGUUUUGCAUGCAGAAGAUGUGGGUUAGUGUCCUGCAAGUCUUA
rnacentral:tRNA from 42 species